AUUAUCUUCCAAUGAUCAAGACGCAAUGAAAAAUAUCAAUUUUGUCCUCAGUGAGAGGCGUCCAGAAAUCCGAAACCCAUUUAUCAAUUUUGGGAGGGGCAGAAACAAUUGAAUCGACAGAUGAAGACUCGACAUUUAAAAUAUCCUUCAUUAUCCAUCACCUUCUGACCACAUAUGACGACAGAGGUCGGAGGAGAACUGGAGAUGGGUUGAGCUUUACCCUAUACAGAUAGACGAGCAGAUCCCGUUGAAUGGCAUGAACUCGGAGCACCAGCAAGCAACCCUACACUAGCAAAAUUCGCAUAGGAUUCCACAUGUACAGGAGAGGAGGCACGAGGAAGAGUAGGUCGCGCAGCUACACAAUCGACAAGAGCAAAGUCAAGGAUCGCAACAACAAAAAACUUGCGACCACAGAAGGCAUCACACCCAUUGCACAAAUUGUGGCAACAGGGACAUAGCCCACGACUAUAAAGAGCAACACAGCCGGUGAGCCAUUUCAAAUCCCCAGCAAUAGAAAUUCAUCAUCCGCUUGGGCGUGCAAAUGAAAAGUGGUGGUCUGGAGCGCCAUUCCUUUGUUUCUUCUAGAUGUAAAUUAAAAAAUAUGGUGACAUUGACAAUUGCUAUCACAGGUUUCAGCUCAUUGUCCAUGAUUUUUUUCCCCUUAUCAUGUGUAUUAUGCUAUGUUAGCCGGAGUUUUCGGGACGGGGACGGCCGGACGAGUUUCCAGAGGGCAAAUUUUUUUGUCAAUUUUGGGGAUGGCAGGGGUUGGGGAUGGCUAUAUAAAAUAUAGAUAUGAUUGGUAUUGAUAAGUUAUCCUGCAGGAAGUUUCUGCUUGUAAGUCAAGACAUGAGAUUAGGUUCUACAGUUGAGACUCUCCCUGUGGCUUUCUAUGGUGAAGACUAGUGGAAUCUACAGUAGACUAGAUUCUAUGGUGGAGGUUACCUGUGAGGAAUUUACAGUCGAGAUCAUGUGCAGGAAGGUUUUGGUGUCUACAUCCCCCCUCUCCAUAUGUGGUACGGGAGAAAAUAAGUCUUUACAUGUAAGCAAAGUUGAAGAUGCAGAUGGACAUAAGGUUGCAUCAAGAGUUGAUUAUAUCCUCCGUGUAAUUAGUAAAUUGUAAUUUGAUUAUCUGAAUGAAUAAAAUUUGUAUUUAUUUUCACCUUUAA